rnacentral:rRNA from 1 species
AUUGAACGCUGGCGGAAUGCUUUACACAUGCAAGUCGAACGGCAGCAUAGGUGCUUGCACCUGAUGGCGAGUGGCGAACGGGUGAGUAAUACAUCGGAACGUGCCCAGUCGUGGGGGAUAACGUAGCGAAAGUUACGCUAAUACCGCAUACGAUCUAAGGAUGAAAGCGGGGGACCGUAAGGCCUCGCGCGAUUGGAGCGGCCGAUGUCAGAUUAGGUAGUUGGUGAGGUAAAGGCUCACCAAGCCGACGAUCUGUAGCUGGUCUGAGAGGACGACCAGCCACACAGGGACUGAGACACGGCCCAGACUCCUACGGGAGGCAGCAGUGGGGAAUUUUGGACAAUGGACGCAAGUCUGAUCCAGCCAUUCCGCGUGCAGGACGAAGGCCUUCGGGUUGUAAACUGCUUUUGUACGGAACGAAAAAGCCCUUACUAAUACUAGGAGUCCAUGACGGUACCGUAAGAAUAAGCACCGGCUAACUACGUGCCAGCCGCCGCCGUAA